GUUUUGCUUGUCAGUUGCCAACAGUUGAACUGAAGAUUAAAUUCGUUCGCAUUAUUGUUUUAUUUAGUUUCCAAUUACAUAGAGAAAGAAAAAUCAUCCAUGCUGCUCGUAUUCUCAUGAUUAUAAUAACCUGUUGGGCUUUCUGGAUUUCAGUUCCAUUUUGUUCAAAUCGGGGAGGUUGUGCUGAUAAUAAGAGUAUGACUGUUUGUUGAGGCUGGUUCGACUCCCUUUUCUCCUGGCAGAGAAUUAUGCGGUUCUCAUACAGUACACUCUUCUGACCUGACUAUACGGAGUGUGCUACUGGUCUAUUCCUGAAAAACUCUUAGCAAGAAUUUUAUUUCGUUAUCCGACUUUUCCCCUCUUGACCAUACGCGCGGGUGUUCAAAGUUCCGGGAGAUUGCGAGAGCGAGGUGAAAGCGGCAGUGGGAAGGGAAGGCGAGAGGAAGGGGAACGGGGAGGGUCUGUAAGUCCUCGGCGUGCUGCGGCUCCAUGGACAAUUGAUCCUAAUUUAUUUUCUGGGAGCUAUGGCAUUGGUCUACGAUGUUCCCUCUGCGGCGGCGGCAAGCCGAGCCGAGCCGGCCAGUGUGGGCCGGGGGUGCAGCCGUUGCAGCCAGCAGCCGCGCCGCCGCCGCCCACCGUGGAGGGCCGGUGCUUGGUGACCGGGGUCAGCCGCGCCAGCCGCGCGGGACCAACCGCUGCUUUACGGUUUUUUGUUGGCUGUGCAUCGCGGCAAUGCCGGUUGAUGGAAUGCGUCCAUGGCCACGAGUCACGAUGUACGAGUCGAGCCGGGCCGCGCCACGGCAGGGCCCGGCGGGGCCGAGCCGAGCCGAGCCGGGGCGGCCUGUGCUUUAGCCGCGGUGUGCUCCUCUUCUUGUCGUCCGUGUGCGCGGGGCGGGCGGGGCGGCGGGGCGGCGCGGGGCCACUAUCGCACCUCACACAUGCGCCCUAGGCGGGCCUGCCUGGCCGCAUUCCCCCGCCGCGGCUGCCGCGGCUCGGGCGCGUCCUCUGCCGGCUUACACUUGGGGGGCGCCCCGGUUACACCCGGCGCUUAUGGCUGGCAGAGUCCCGGCAGAGCCUUUGGGGGGCCGCGGCCGCGGCGAGCAGCAGCGGGGCCCCGCGCCAGGUGGGCCGCCCGCCCCGUCGGCCUGUCUUUGAAAUGAGUGGGAGAGAGACAAACGAGGCCUCCGACCCGUCCGUCUGAGCCGUCUCAGCAGUUGGGCCCCCUUCACUCCCCCCCCCCUCCCCCCGGCGAGCCGCGGGGCCGCGGGGGGAACUGGUUCAGUCAGCGCGUUGCUUUGCCUAUCACGUCUCUCUCUCACUCUCGUUUCGCGAAGACCAGCGACGCGUGGGCGCCGAGGGCCAGCGAGGGGGCUGACGACGGCCCUGCGGCUCCACCACCCCGGGGUUGCAGGGAUGUGGGUGUAGCAUUUCGGCGUGUCGGCGUUUCCGGGGGGGACGGCGGCUGUGGCCUCAGCAGCUGAUGCUGCGGGCCGCUCGGCGGGGGCGGCGCGGGGCGGCGCAGUCGUGCCUUCCCUAUGCCCAGCAACAGCAGCAGCGCGACGCCCUGCCAUCACAUUUCUCUACACAUUGGCAGAAAUCUUUUGCUGGUUGUGGACGGGAGAUCGGCUUCACUUCCGCGUGGGUGGCGGCCGUUGUUAGGGUCGCGCCGUCUCGUCUCUCGACCACGGUAGCUGGCUGCGAAAACGGUUGUGUCGAAGGACGGGGCGCGUCAUGUACUACAAGACAAUGGUAUGCGAGUAGGCGCAUAACUGCUGUGUGCUUGUUUUGCUGGCCACCGUCAAAAUGGUGUGCUCAAAACACGCCUUGUCACACUCGUUCGAAAGUUAGAGGCGCGCACUCGGGCGAAACUGGGGUGACCAUAUUGCAGAAGCCUUUCGUAUUUUGUGUUGUAUUGCUUUGACUUGUCCGACAGUGUGCGGUCGCUCUGAGCGGGUGGUGUGGGAGACUGCACAUGUGGGUAGUAUACGGGACUGGCGGCCGGCGGCGGCUGCAGGGAGGCAUUCUUCUUCCCCUCGCGCUUCGCGGCUGCGAGGAAUUCCCCCAUGAUGCGUGGGCGUGCCGGCCGUGCCGGCGGCGCGCCUGCCCGGCCUGCCUGGGCCUGCCUCCGCUGCACGUGCAGGUUGCAUUCCGCCUGCAGCAGGCGCCGGACCGGCGGGCCGUGCGUGCGUGUGCGUGUGUGUGUGUGUGACUGCCACAUAUUGGAAUGCUCUGCUGGGCCGAACGGGACCCGUCAUACUGUGGGCCCCGAGGCCCAGCCCAGCCCCGGCCCACCACUUCGGAUGAUCGCUUGGAAAUGGGAAAGAAAAAUUCCCUCCUCGUGCUGCUGCUGCUGCUGCUGCUGGCUGCUCGUAUCGGGGAUAAAGAUCGGGACGAGAGCGACAUUCCAUUGACUAAUGCAGCCCGGGGCUGCGUGCGAGGCGGGCGCGACUGCUGCAGCCGCAGCCCGGCCGAGAGAGCGAGUGCCCCAAUGAGAGAAAGAGAGAGAGGGGGAGAGGGAGAGGCAGGGAGGGAGAGUGAGUGAAUGCUGCGUGAUGGAGCCGCCGGGCCGACCUGGCCGUUAUAUGAAUGGGCCGUGGCGUGCCGCAAACGUACUCUUCGCCCCGCUCCGCCCCGCCGCGCCACGCCGCGAGGCGCAGCAGUGUCCGGAGAGUACAACACGCUUUGGUGGGCCGCGGCCGUCAUCCGGCCGAGGCAGCCGAGGCGAGGGGAGGACCCGCGCCUCGAGACGCGGCUGUGGCUUGGCUUGGCGGCGGCGCGAGAUUGGAAUGGCGGGGCGGCGCGGAGCCUCGUGAUGAAUUUAAAAACGCCGCGGGGCGGCAGCGGCCCGGCCCUCCCGGCGGCGUCGCUGUCGCGCCUCGCAUCUCUUGCUCCGCGCGCCGCAAGCCCCAUCCGCCCCAUCCGCUCGCGGAUAUCCGGUGCCGGUGACGGCGUUGGUGUCUGUCCACCUGUCCGCCAGGUGUAGGCGUGUUGUAGCAGGGGCGGCGGUGGUGUCGCGCGCGCCAGCAGGGCGAUUCCGCACAGCGCUUUCGUACCUCCGUCCUUGUCGCACUCACUGGACACCGCCACUGGGUGGGAGUGAGAGGGCACGAGAAAACGCUGUGCGGAAUCGCCUAGCAGCAGCAGCGCCAGCAGGCCACCACCGGGGCGACCGGGCGGGCACAAACGCCCCAAGGUGUGCGAGCGCGCGGCUCGUGUCGCCGCGCGCCGCCACGCCGCCGCCGCACCGUAUUUUUAGCGGAAUGUUGGGGUGACAAAUUAUCGAGUGCCUUUGGCGUGCACUGUGUGUGUGUGUGUGUGUGUGUGUGUGCGGGCAUGCGAGAGCGAGAUGUGCGCGAGCAGGCAGAGGCAGCCGAUGUGGGGCUGAUUCACCCCGCGCACUUCUGUAGUUGUACUGUACCUCACGCACGAGUGGCGGGCGAGCUUGCCUAUCACCCCUGUCCACGGCGCCUUUACGGACCGUGUGAGUAUAUAGGCAACCCGUCCGCACGUAGGAAUGCGGUACAGCAUAACUACAGAAGUGCGCGGGGUUAAUCAGCCACCUACUACUGAUUCCGCAGACGUCUGACAGAGCUGCGCUGCGAAUGCGAUCUUCUGAAUCAGUUGGCGCAGCGCAAGCAGCAGCGACCGCGUGUCACAGAUGCGCAGGUGGCCGCGCGCACUCGCUCGGUUUUGUUCGGCACGUUAUCAUUUUGCCGGCUGCUCCAUUAGUGGAUGGACCCGCCCUUCCCUGUCCGGCUCAGGUCCGGCCCGCCGCCGCUAUCGCCCGCGCAGAAAUACAACAAACGCACCAGGGCCGGGCUGAUCGGAAUGAGACACGAGUGCGCUAUCUGCUCUGCUGCUGCCGGCCGCACGCGUCUCGGCCGCCCCCGUAUACGGCGGCGGCGUGGCGGUCUGGGCCUCGGUCCUGCUCUCUGCCCUCCUGUUCGUCCUCUCACUGCCUCUCUCCUCCUCUCUUAUCCUCCUCUCCUCCAGGUUCUUGCUCCCGCGCUACAUCCUGCCUGGCGUGCAGCUCGUGUGCUCUGGAGCCCCUUCCCCCUCAUCCCCCUUCUCCUCCUCCCCGUUUGCCGUGCAGCCUUCGUGCAGCACUUCUCAAUGGAAUGCCGGCCAUGGAGGAAUUUUAUCUUCCCGCCGCGCUCGGCCGCCGCCGUGAUCAGAGUGGAGGAGGAGGAGGAGGAGUCUUGGACCAGCUUUGCGCUGCUGCUCCCCACCACCGCAGUUUGGAUCGACCGCCGAAAAUUGUUUCUUGGCUUUCGGAGCGUCGAACGACUCGAAUAAAAGAGCGCAGGCAGAGAAUUGCCCCGACGGACGCUGGGGCUGCGCGCUGCGCAGGCGCACGGGGGUCUGCUGGCUGGGCUGCUAUCCCUUUCCCUUUGAUGGUGAUGCGUGCGGCGCGGCGGGGAAGGCCCUGCGGCUGCCGGGGCCGGGCCCGGGGCCUCGUCACGGCUGAUCGGGGCCCGCCCGGCCACCUCCGGCCGGCCCGGCCCGCGGCCCCGCCGUGAUGUAAUGCGUGAUGUCAGGCGGAGGUGUCGAUGAGCGGCGCCUCUCUGCUGCUGCCGCAUUCCUCCACGGCUCCACCGCGACGACGCGACGACGCGACAGCGGCCCUCGAGGCCUGUCCUUACAGCGGCCCCUGACCUCCUGAGCUGAGAGCCCCCCUCCCAGCCUCCCAGUUUGGUCCAGCCGCCGCCGCCGGCCGCCGCCUCGCUUCCUGUCCAGGGGCUCAUUCAUGGCGGCCGCUGCUGGGCACUUGGGGGCCCGGCUUGGAGGAAAUGGCCGUCACUCGGUCCGACAGUGCGGCGGGGCCGGGCCGGGCCCCCAGACGGCCGCCGCUGGAAGGCGCCCAAGACCGUGGCGAAGGCCGGGCCGGGCGACGCGAGCCAGCAGCGGGGCGUGGCGCAGCGCAGCGUAGCGCGUGGCCAAAUAGAUGGCAUUUUUGCGGACGCACUCAUGCCGGUGUGCGGGCCCGCACGUUAGUCACCCUGGCGGGCGCGGCCGCGGGGGCCGCGGGCUGUGGUGGUGGUGGCGGUGGCGGCCGCGUGUGUCGUGUGGUGUGGUGUCUGCUCGGGUGACCUCGGCGUGCCGCUGCGCGGGGUCGCACCGGGUCACACCCUCGUGACGACGCGGUGUGGCGGGCGGAAUCUAUGGGCUGGGCCCGUGUGUUGGAGGAUGAUAGGCCGCGUGACGACGUAAGCGUAGCAUACCCGCUUAGCUACUAAUAGCUGGGGGGAAAGGGGCGGGGGAUGCUUAUACGGCCUGCUAAGGCGCUUCCUCGGGCAAUAAUAGACUGAUCAGACUAGAGCCGUGGAGAUAAACGGCCCAGUUCGUCAACGACUGCGACUGGCUCUGCCCCCUCCCCCGUGGUUAUCCCCUCAUUACCCUCUGCUCCCCCUUCGCCUCGUUACCCUCUCGUGGCCCCGGUGCCCUGCCAUUGCGCGGCCCCCCUCACCCCCCUCCUCACCCCUCUCGCCAGCCCGCUCUGUGCCCGUGUGCACCCGUCUGACCACUGCAGGAAUGCUUACAAUGCGGCUGAGGAGGCUGCCCGCGGAGGGGCGGGGCGUGGCGGGGCGCCCGCUAAGCGAUGUGAUGCGAUGCUACGCCGUACCGCCCCACCUCCGCCCGCCCGCCGGUUCGUUUCGUUUCGUUUCGUAUGGUUGAGUUCAGUCCGCCGGACGCCGGCACCCCGCGCGCACCACACACCGCCGCUCUCCCGCCGCGCUCGCGCCGCUGCUCACCGGCUGCCGCUUGGGCCCCACCACGCCGCGCCCCGCCCCGCGCCCCGAUCCGCUCCCCGCGCCCGCACCCACUUCAGUCGAGCCCCGCUCUUGCGCCCCCCGUGCGUUUGUCUAUGAGUGCGGCCAUGUGCGUCGGGGGAGUGCUGUGCAACUGGCACCUCACCGGGUGCUCCCUCUGGCAGCCCUGGGUGGAGGGACAACAGCAGCAACAAGAGGAGGCCCGCAAGUCACUUCCGUCCGUGAGGUGGAGGAGGGACCGCCGGGCUCGCGACUCGCUGCCAGACUACGCGACGGCCAAGGCGACCGCGGUCGGCGGCCAGCAGCAGCAGCAGUGCGGCCAGCAGGGCGGCCA